UAACGACUCUCGGCAACGGAUAUCUCGGCUCUCGCAUCGAUGAAGAACGUAGCGAACUGCGAUACUUGGUGUGAAUUGCAGAAUCCCGUGAACCAUCGAGUCUUUGAACGCAAGUUGCGCCCGAAACCUUCGGGUCGAGGGCACGUUUGCCUGGGUGUCA
rnacentral:rRNA from 7 species